UGAAAAUGGCCACCACGGCGACACCAGGCUUUCUCAUUCCUCACCACUAUCAUCUCAGCAAACAACUUCCUCCUUUUGAUUCCACCUUCUUUCGUCCCAAGAUUAGAGAUUCUCGAUUAUCUCACUUCAUCCCGACUAUAAAGCAAGUAAGAACCGUGCCAGUCGUUCCUGUAGUUAGAGCUCAAAGCUUUCCUGACUACAUUCCCGAUGCUAAAUUCUACAAAGUGGAAGCGAUUCUCAGGCCCUGGCGAGUCUCUCAAGUUUCCUCGGUAAGAGCUAGUGAACUAUUUUCCUGGUUUGUGCGUCUUUUCAAUGCAACGGACAGGCUUUGCUAAAAAUUGGUAUCCGAGGAGUUACUGUUUCUGAUGUUCGAGGCUUUGGAGCUCAAGGUGGUUUAGCAGAGAGGCAAGGCGGCUCUGAAUUUUCUGAAGACAAGUUUGUUGCUAAAGUUAAGAUGGAGAUUGUGG